AUCAGCAGCAAGAGUAAGAAGUAUUGGCAGCAGCAGGCAGGCGGGAAGGUUGGGAGUUUGCAUGAAAACCUAAAGGCUGGGAGUUUGUUUGUGAAACGUUUUGGAAGGGGAAUUAGAAUAGCUCAGAAAAUGAUCUUAUUUUUUUUGUAUGUGUGUGGGAAAUUGAUCAGAAGCUAAAAGUCUUAUCUUCCAUCAAUUGCAAGAUACAGCUUUUGGUGUUUGCAGUAAGCCAGACAGAAUGAAUUGCUGUUUAUAAAGUACUGUGCCAUGAUUCCUAAAAUGAAGGCAAAGCUAAAGCAAAGUCAUCACUCAAAGGCUGCCACGAGAGCUUUUCUACCUUUAACUCAUUGUGGCAAAAUUGGACAUUCCAAAGAUGGCGUAGAUGAACAUGACCAGGAAGAGCAGGAGGCCGAUGUUAAACAGGGCAGGGAGGGACAUCAUCAGGGCAAAGAGCAGAGUGCGGAUCCCCUUGGCCCCUUUGAUCAGACGCAAGAUUCGACCAAUCCUGGCGAGACGGAUGACUCGGAAUAAGGCCUCUGGCUCAUCUGGAUUGACAGGUUCAGCCUCAGCUUCCUCUUCUCCUGGUUGAGGAUUAUCAACUGUGCUGCAUUCAGAAGAACUUGAUCGGUUGGGUCUCUAUAAAGAAAGUCACCACCCCACCAAAUAGUUCAUUUAGUGUUUAUUCAAAUCUUGGAUUUAAUAAUAUUUAAAAUAAGAAUCAUGCGGUGUAAUGAAAAGAGACUCACUGUAUGAUGACCAUAGAAAACACAAACAUACACAUUGAGGUCAAUUAACCUGACAAUGGAUGUAUAUGCUCUUCAUUCUAUCUACACAUUCUGUUGA